rnacentral:rRNA from 1 species
CCCUUAGAUGUUCUGGGAUGCACGCGCGUUACACUGAUUCGUUCAACGAGUUUAUGACCUUGCCUGAUGAGGUGGGGGAAUCUUUUCAAAUCGCAUCGUGAUGGGGAUAGAGUAUUGUAACUGUUAGUCUUCAACGAGGAAUUCCUAGUAAGUACGUGUCAUCAGCUCGUACUGAUUAUGUCCCUGCCCUUUGUACACACCGCCCGUCGCUCCUACCGAUUGAGUGCUCAGGUGAAUAGUAUGGACUGCAUCAGUGUUCGGUCUCCGAAUGUUGACGCGAGAAAUUCUGUGAAUCUUAUUGCUUAGAGGAAGGAGAAGUCGUNACA